GCGCCCGUAGCUCAACCGGAUAGAGUAACUGACUACGAAUCAGGAGGUUGGAGGUUCGAGUCCUCUCGGGCGCGCCA
rnacentral:tRNA from 1 species